rnacentral:rRNA from 1 species
GUAAAGCGCACGCAGGCGGUCCGUCAAGUCGGAUGUGAAAUCCCCGGGCUCAACCUGGGAACUGCAUUCGAAACUGGCAGGCUAGAGUCUUGUAGAGGGGGGUAGAAUUCCAGGUGUCGCGGUGAAAUGCGUAGAGAUCUGGAGGAAUACCGGUGGCGAAGGCGGCCCCCUGGACAAAGACUGACGCUCAGGUGCGAAAGCGUGGGGAGCAAACAGGAUUAGAUGCCCUGGUAGGCCACGCCGUAAACGAUGUCGAUUUGGGGGUUGUGCCCUUGAGGCGUGGCUUCC